CAAAAUACCGAUUUUCAGGAGAUGGUUCUACGACACUUCUAGCAUAGUUACCUACCUGGAAAGAAUCUCUAGCUGAAAUUUGUUCGUGUUUUGAGCACUUUUACUAUUGUUACAGCUAUUUUUGCCUCUUUCUUCUUACUUUUUUGUCAAAAAUUGCGAUGAUGUAAUUCAAUUCAGUUAAUUAGACAAAAGAUCAACCUUUACCAGUGAUUAAAUUGUGCAGUGUAUGACAGACACAUGACAGGAGGACUCAGUGAGAGCCAAAUCUAAGCUGACUGGUUAUAUCAAAUGGCAACCCGAAAAUUGGACUCAGGCCCUCCAGCUGCAGAUAGUGUAACGCUAAAAGCAGAGCUCAAGCUGUUGAAGGCAGAAGUAAAGAGACUCAGUAUGGAAUUCGGAGAAUUUAAAAAGGUUGCUGAAGCAGCUCAAAUGGAAUAUGAUAUCGCACGCCACUUCGUCAUCGAGCUGACUAACAAACUAAAAGACUUAUAGACAAUUAACGUACACUAAUGCCUGUUAUAAAUUUAUAGCACUAUUAUUUAUGUGUCAGCGCUUGCAAUUGAAGUUUGACAUUAAGACUUUCAAGCAAAAUUAAGUUGACAAUAAAAAAUAAUGCAUACAAUUUUAUUUU